rnacentral:rRNA from 1 species
AUGGCUGGAUGCGUGGCACUGGCGGUGGUCCUGCUGUGCGCGGCGGCCGCCAUGGCCGCGGCACAGUCGGCGUCCAACGUGCGCGCCACCUACAACUUCUACAACCCGGAGAAGAUCAACUGGGACCUCAACACCGCCAGCGCCUACUGCGCCACAUGGGACGCCGGCAUGUCCUUGGCCUGGCGCUCCAAGUAUGGCUGGACUGCCUUUUGCGGGCCCGCUGGGCCCACUGGCCAGGCAUCCUGCGGCAAGUGCCUCCAGGUGACGAACACGGCUACCGGCGCACAGAUUACGGUGAGGAUCGUUGACCAGUGCAGCAACGGUGGCCUGGACCUGGACUAUGACACAGUGUUCAGCAAGAUCGACACCAACGGGGUGGGUAUGCAGCAGGGCCACCUCACCGUCAACUACCAGUUCGUCGACUGUGGCGAUAACUAA